GUUAACACUGAGUAGUUGAGCUGACCAAAGACUGCCUUCGGCAUUACACUGACACUGGCCACCAGAUCACAUAGAGCCUUGUCGAAGAUUUGUGUCCCAAUUGAGCAUAUGAUGAAGUAUGGCUGCACUGCAUGUCUAAGUAAGAUGGAGAGCAAGCUAUCCUCGACGGCGGUGUUCCUAUAGGCCACCGCGCUCCUGGUCCCGUGCAGGCCUCUAAAUGGCACCCUGAGGUCCCAUCCAGGCCGCUGCCCUACGCCCCACGAGGAGGCAGUCCUGCAGGCCGCCGCUGUGCACCCCGAACACAGCAAGCAGGAGGCCCUCACCUCCACCGCUGGUAUGCCUUCUUCCUUCUUUGAUUCUUCAUGUGCGCACUACAAUUCUUGUACCAUCUCGCACAGCCCCAGCAGGAUUUGUCGAUUCCAUCUCCACUAGAUCGAGGCAGCGACGGCCAAUGAGGGCAAUCUCGACCUUAGCAUCAGCGGGUCAACAUGCUCGCCUCCAAGAUAUGCCUCUGAUGCAUUGAACUCCGCCGCCACCGUUCAUCUCCUCCUCGGGUUCUCUCUCCCCCUCCCCUAUCCAGUGAGACCUCACUUUGGAUGAAAAAGAAGUGCAAUAGGAUUGAAAGCUCUACAUAAUUCUAGAGUCUGAUGUUUCUUGGAUUUCUCCAACAAGAUUUCUUCAAAAAAAUUUCCUUGAGCCAGCAGUUGCAAAGAGGAGCACCAAGUCUGAUGUUUCUGCACGUGAACAAGAACUUGAGUCUGAAGUUGAGAGUCAGAAGCAGGGUGGUAAUCAGAAGCAAGCAGCAAAUCUUGGGUUACCAGGAUGAUUUGCAUUCUUUGAGAUUUUAAUACUGUAACUUGUACCUGUCUAGAAUCUUGUAAUUGUGGAGUAUUAUAUGGCUAUCUGAGAUUGAAUAUGAAUUAUUUGAUUUUAAAUUUGCUUUGGGCUAUUGGGUUGUCAA